rnacentral:rRNA from 1 species
UUAAAACUCAAAUGAAUUGACGGGGGCCCGCACAAGCGGUGGAGCAUGUGGUUUAAUUCGAUGCAACGCGAAGAACCUUACCUGGUCUUGACAUCCAUAGAAUUCUGCAGAGAUGUGGGAGUGCCUUCGGGAACUAUGAGACAGGUGCUGCAUGGCUGCCGUCAGCUCGUGUUGUGAAAUGUUGGGUUAAGUCCCGCAACGAGCGCAACCCUUAUUCUUUGUUGCCAGCGAUUUGGUCGGGAACUCAAAGGAGACUGCCGUUGAUAAAGCGGAGGAAGGUGGGGACGACGUCAAGCCAUCAUGGCCCUUACGACCAGGGCUACACACGUGCUACAAUGGCGUAUACAAAGGGAAGCGAAGGUGCGAGCUGGAGCGGAUCUCAUAAAGUACGUCUAAGUUCGGAUUGGAGUCUGCAACUCGACUCCAUGAAGUCGGAAUCGCUAGUAAUCGUAGAUCAGAAUGCUACGGUGAAUACGUUCCCGGGCCUUGUACACACCGCCCGUCACACCAUGGGAGUGGGUUGCACCAGAAGUAGAUAGCUUAACCGCGAGGGGGGCGUUUACCACGGUGUGAUUCAUGACUGGGGUGAAGUCGUAACAAGGUAACCA